rnacentral:rRNA from 1 species
UGGGGAAUAUUGGACAAUGGGCGCAAGCCUGAUCCAGCCAUGCCGCGUGAGUGAUGGAGGCCUUAGGGUUGUAAAGCUCUUUUACCAGGGAUGAUAAUGACAGUACCUGGAGAAUAAGCUCCGGCUAACUCCGUGCCAGCAGCCGCGGUAAUACGGAGGGAGCUAGCGUUGUUCGGAAUCACUGGGCGUAAAGCGCACGUAGGCGGCCAACUAAGUCAGAGGUGAAAGCCCGGAGCUCAACUCCGGAACUGCCUUUGAAACUAGAUGGCUAGAAGAUGGGAGAGGUGAGUGGAAUUCCGAGUGUAGAGGUGAAAUUCGUAGAUAUUCGGAAGAACACCAGUGGCGAAGGCGACUCACUGGACCAUAUUUGACGCUGAGGUGCGAAAGCGUGGGGAGCAAGCAGGAUUAGAUACCCCCGUAGUCC